AACGGGCCGGGACUGCGUGUGCCCUCGGGAGGCGUCCGUGCGGGGCGUCCCGCCCUGGGGCAGCGGCUGGGAUCGUCGGGGUGGCUGGUUUCUCCCCACUGUGGAAGGGGUUGGAUGAUGUACCUCGCUCUCUGGGACACCCCACUUGGCUGUAAUCUCAGGAAGGCCUCUUAAACCCCGGCUCAUCCCGCAGCCACUUCUGGAAGCUACUUGAGAGGAAAAAAAAAAAAUGAUGUGACAGGUCCUCUCAGGAAGGAUUUUCAGAAACCCAGCAUCCGCAGAAGAAAGUGGCCCAUUUCCCUUUUGCAAAGU
rnacentral:lncRNA from 1 species